GGCCAGACUCCUACGGGAGGCAGCAGUGGGGAAUAUUGCACAAUGGGGGAAACCCUGGUGCAGCGACGCCGCGUGAGUGAAGAAGUAUCUCGGUACGUAAAGCUCUAUCAGCAGGGAAGAAAAUGACGGUACCUGACCAAGAAGCCCCGGCUAACUACGUGCCAGCAGCCGCGGUAAUACGUAGGGGGCAAGCGUUAUCCGGAUUCACUGGGUGUAAAGGGAGCGUAGACGGCCAUGCAAGCCUGGAGUGAAAGCCCGGGGCCCAACCCCGGGACUGCUCUGGGAACUGUGCGGCUGGAGUGCGGGAGGGGCAGGCGGAAUUCCUGGUGUAGCGGUGAAAUGCGUAGAUAUCAGGAGGAACACCGGCGGCGAAGGCGGCCUGCUGGACCGCGACUGACGUUGAGGCUCGAAAGCGUGGGGAGCAAACAGGAUUAGAUACCCCAGUAAC
rnacentral:rRNA from 1 species